UGGAUCUGUAGUGUAAUGGAUAUCACGUCGGAUUCCGGUUCCGGAGAUGAGGGUUCGAUUCCCCCCAGAUUCAU
rnacentral:tRNA from 1 species